rnacentral:lncRNA from 1 species
UUUUGUUUAUCGCUUCUCUCUCUGUCUGGGCAUUCGUUGUCUUUGUUCUUUAUUUCUCAUCAGAAACGAUCCAAAUCGAUACUACACUGAGAUCACCUUCUUUAAUCUCAUAUUCUUUCUCGUCAGCUUCCUCGUGUUGGAUUUUACCAAGUUUCAGUAUCGUGGAUUCGAUUGAAUUUGUGUUGGUUUUGCCAUUUUUGCUCGUCUUCCUCCCUCUUCCCCUCACCAUUGGUUCAUCUUCGUUUCAUUCCUAAAAUGUAAGUGUUUUUUUUUCAUUUCAUUUUCCCAAAAGCUUUUCGUUCUCUCCAGAUGUUUGUGUUUGAUUCCAUAAAUGGUUCAAAUAGAUUGAAGUAGAGAAAUUGAAUCAGACCUUAUGAUUUCUCGU